rnacentral:rRNA from 1 species
GAAGCGUCUGGAAAGGCGCGCGAUACAGGGUGACAGCCCCGUACACAAAAGCGCAUGUGCUGUGAGCUCGAUGAGUAGGGCGGGACACGUGGUAUCCUGUCUGAAUAUGGGGGGACCAUCCUCCAAGGCUAAAUACUCCUGACUGACCGAUAGUGAACCAGUACCGUGAGGGAAAGGCGAAAAGAACCCCGGCGAGGGGAGUGAAAAAGAACCUGAAACCGUGUACGUACAAGCAGUGGGAGCACCCUUUGGGUGUGACUGCGUACCUUUUGUAUAAUGGGUCAGCGACUUAUAUUCUGUAGCAAGGUUAACCGAAUAGGGGAGCCGGAGGGAAACCGAGUCUUAACCGGGCGUUAAGUUGCAGGGUAUAGACCCGAAACCCGGUGAUCUAGCCAUGGGCAGGUUGAAGGUUGGGUAACACUAACUGGAGGACCGAACCGACUAAUGUUGAAAAAUUAGCGGAUGACCUGUGGCUGGGGGUGAAAGGCCAAUCAAACCGGGAGAUAGCUGGUUCUCCCCGAAAGCUAUUUAGGUAGCGCCUCGUGAAUUCAUCUCCGGGGGUAGAGCACUGUUUCGGCUAGGGGGCCAUCCCGGCUUACCAACCCGAUGCAAACUGCGAAUACCGGAGAAUGUUAUCACGGGAGACACACGGCGGGUGCUAACGUCCGUCGUGAAGAGGGAAACAACCCAGACCGCCAGCUAAGGUCCCAAAGUCAUGGUUAAGUGGGAAACGAUGUGGGAAGGCCCAGACAGCCAGGAUGUUGGCUUAGAAGCAGCCAUCAUUUAAAGAAAGCGUAAUAGCUCACUGGUCGAGUCGGCCUGCGCGGAAGAUGUAACGGGGCUAAACCAUG